AUGCCCAGUUCUAUUUGAAUUUCAGGUAAGCCACUAAUAAUUUUUAGCAUAAAUAUAUCCAUGCAAAGUAUGGGACAUACUUAUACUAAAACAUGGUUGAUUUGAAAUUCAUAUCAAACUGGAAGUC
rnacentral:miRNA from 1 species